rnacentral:rRNA from 1 species
UACGGAGGGAGCUAGCGUUGUUCGGAAUUACUGGGCGUAAAGCGCACGUAGGCGGCUUUGUAAGUUAGAGGUGAAAGCCCGGGGCUCAACCCCGGAAUUGCCUUUAAGACUGCAUCGCUUGAAUCCAGGAGAGGUGAGUGGAAUUCCGAGUGUAGAGGUGAAAUUCGUAGAUAUUCGGAGGAACACCAGUGGCGAAGGCGGCUCACUGGUCCAUUACUGACGCUGAGGUGCGAAAGCGUGGGGAGCAAACAGG